CGCGAAUCGCCCUUCGGGGUGCAGCAGGCGCGAAAACUUUGCAAUAAGCGAAAGCUUGACAGGGCUAUCCCGAGUGCCAUCCGCUGAGGAAGGCUUUUACCCAGUCUAGAACGCUGGGGGAAUAAGGAGAGGGCAAGUCUGGUGUCAGCCGCCGCGGUAAUACCAGCUCUCCGAGUGGUGUGGAUGUUUAUUGGGCCUAAAGCAUCCGUAGCUGGCUAAGUUAGUCCCUUGUUAAAUCCACCGAAUUAAUCGUUGGAUUGCGGGGGAUACUGCUUGGCUAGGGGACGAGAGAGGCAGACGGUAUUUCCGGGGUAGGGGUGAAAUCCUAUAAUCCCGGGAAGACCACCAGUGGCGAAGGCUGUCUGCUAGAACGCGCCCGACGGUGAGGGAUGAAAGCUGGGGGAGCGAACCGGAUUAGAUACCCGGGUAGUCCCAGCUGUAAACGAUGCAGGCUAGGUGUUUGGACGGCCACGUGCCGUUCUAGUGCCGCAGGGAAGCUGUUAAGCCUGCCGCCUGGGGAGUACGAUCGCAAGAUUGAAACUUAAAGGAAUUGGCGGGGGAGCAC
rnacentral:rRNA from 1 species